CCACUCCUUCUUCACCAAAUUUUGGACUUGAAUAAACAUCUCCCCACCAUGGGCCACUAUCUCCUUAAGCUUCGCCUCAAGCUUAACAAUCCUAGUAGAGGCAGCUUAGGCCCCUUCAGCUUGAGUCUGCAGCUCCAAGACUUGGUGCUGCAAUAGAACCAAUUGAUCUUCGACGGAUUUAGCCCAAUUUUCAAGGCCCAGUUUAGAAGCAAGGGCCUUGUCAAGAUCAGCUUGAAACUUGUCUAUUGACUCUAGGGUCUCCUUU
rnacentral:lncRNA from 1 species